ensembl:lncRNA
UCCCUUCCAACUCAAACAAUUCCAUGAUUCUAUAAGACAAAUGCUGAUAACCACAGGUCUCUUACAUCCCUAAGGGUGGUGGGAUCUCAAAGUGGUUGUUGUGAAGUCAAGUGCCUUUGAAACACCAGAUUUCUCAAGAAUGGUGAUCUCCAGUCUACCACCUUCAAGACAGCAGUACAAAUGCCAGCCAUGCAUAACAGCCACCUCCUCGCCUUCUCCUAUGAAUACACCACUCACAUCUUGGUGGCGCCUCCAGGCUUCUUGUCACCACGCCAAGCUCCAUGCAGCAUUAACCUGCAGCACAUCGCACCAAAGCAGUUGGCAAUCCUGCUGCCCCUCUGGAAGCAGCAGUAAGGCUUCGGCACAGUAUUCAAAGGAAAGACUGUUGCAUGGGAAGUGGUAGGAAAGUAUCACUGCUUGCUCACAGUGUGCUUCUUUAGAAUGGAAAAAGAAGCUUAUCGUGAUAAAGGAGGCAAAACAGGACGUUGGGGUGCAGCUCUGCUGUCAGCUUGUCACACAAUGCUUCUCCAGGAUCCUGUGUUUGCUGCUGUAGUAGGGGAACGAUAAUUCCUUAUUUCUGUGAAGUUGUCAAGGAUUUGCCUGGUGUUGCCUUUGGGAUCCUGGGAUCAGAAAGACUUCUCAAUUCAAUCGUCAAGUUCUGAACUGGCAGUUGGGAUGGGAGCAGAGGGUUGAAUUGGGCCUAAUUCUGAUCCUAUUUACUGUGCAUUUUGGGAGUGGCUGCCUCAAAGACAGCAGUCACCCUGGAGCAAAAAAAACCCAACAGUUAAAGCAAAUUAGAAUUGUUAUCAAAGGAAGAGCGUGCACAGUGGGACAUGAGCUGAAGCUGAGCAGUGUUUUUACUUACAAGGACAAGGCUUUUUAACUGGGUGUUUCCUUCAUUUGUCAUCAUUAAGAAAAUGACAGUUGGAGUGAAAAUUAAAUACUCGGGGGAAAAGAAAACAAAACAACAUCACAAACCAGCAGCCCUUCAGCCGAUGAGUAGAUCUGCCCUGGUUAGUGCUACUACAGUGCAGCCCUUUCAGCCCUUUUGUCCCAAGGAGGGAAGGAAAUCAUCAGUGGAACAUCAAAGCUGAUGAGCAAACGAAAGGAUAAAAUCACUGAGAAGAAGAGGAGAGCCGUGAUCUCACCUGUCUGUAAUGAAAUUAAAGGCUUGUCCCCCCAGUGUUGCUCUGCGGGGUGUAAGCAGCGCUGGGAGUGAGGAUGCUCCAGUGCUGCUGCCAAAGAGUUAAUCACAACAUAAUCGUCUCCUUCUCUUUCCGAGAGGAGUUUCUCCGUGGCAGCCCGCAGGGCCGUUGGGUGAGAUGCGUGAUUGUGUGUUCUGGCAACCGCUUUGCAAUGUGAAAUAAACACCCUUCCC